rnacentral:rRNA from 1 species
UGCAGAAUCCCGCGAACCAUCGAGUCUUUGAACGCAAGUUGCGCCCGAGGCCAUUCGGCUGAGGGCACGCCUGCCUGGGCGUCACGC